rnacentral:sRNA from 1 species
AAGGCACAAAGUCCAAACUCGUCAUGCUUGCAUGAUAAGAGGUUGGACCUUGGUACCCGCCAAACAUGAGAAAGUAGCGAUUUAUGCAAUAAAUCCGCGGAUUUCGAAUGUUUGCAGGAUUGCGAAAGUUGUGAAACAACGGAGCAAUCCGUAUC